UUAAGUGUAGGGUGCCAAUACUUUUGUCUGCGACUGUAAUUUUAUUUUUCUGUCUGUGUUUUCCAGGGCAAAUACAAAGACAUUGGGAAGAUUUCUCAACGCAUUACAAAGAGAAAUCAAGACAGCAUGCACAAAUGUACAUUGCAGAUGGGAAAGAAAAUAAAGAAUUUGACUUUACAGUCAUGUCUUAAAACAUCCUUUCCAAGCAUUUGUUGGAGGACAAUGCAGACGUCCAAUAUUACACUGGGGUUAUAGAUUCCCCAACAUCGUGCAGGAACUCAAACAACAUGAUGCAUAUGUGAGCAAAAAACAAAAACGUCCUAGUGCAACAUUCCCAUAGAAAUAUACAUCGCUGUUCCUGUACUGCCUAAUGUUAUCUUACGUAGGGUAGUCCUCAGUUUGUCAGGGUCUGUGAAAUAGGCCAAUAAAUUACUGUGCAAAAUGUGCACCACUUUGUGAAAAGCAAAGUUGUGUUAAAUAUCAUAUGUACAAAACUAAAUUCUACUUGUAGGUCCUUUGAGCAGUCAUAAUAUAUGCAUGUAGGCAUAAACAAUAACAGUUAGAAAUACUGAAAGAAAAACAAUACAUUUCAUGACGAAUGUUUUGAUUAGUCUUUCAAUGUUUUAAAAAAUGAAGACAUUACAAAAGACUUAUUGGUGUUUAAUAGUUAUGGAUCAUUAAUUACAGUAAAACUUAGUAAAAAAAAUAUAUGUGGUUUCAUUUUGCAGAAUAGGUUUCUUUAUUUACAAUGUAGCUGUUCAAACUUUUUUCUUAGAUUCUGUGUCUGCAAGAAGUGCAAGAGGACCACUACAAAACCCAGAUCAAACCAAGUCUAGAAUCCUUAGAUUUCUGGACAACAGACUCCGAGGCCACCGGAUAUUGUCUGUGCCUAAAAACCUUGGGAUGUCUCGCCACUGUCAAUAUGAAACUGGAUACCAUAGCAAUACAGACAAAUCCACUAAAGAUGCAGAAGACUAUUCCAAUGUGCCUUCAACUGCCAGUCAAGAUAAAUAUUUCCUCCAAGUGAAAAGUAGGUUCUGGAAUUGGGAUUAUUUGUGACACAUUAUACCAUUAGGUGGCUGAAAAGUUGUAUGAUGUAAGAAAGAUUUUAAAGUUACAUUUUCACUGUGUGUUGAUUCUAUUUUACAACUAUUUUGUCAUCACUGCACAAGUAACAUAUCACCCCAAUCAGUCUGUUGUAUAGUUUAACCAUUUCUAGUUACAGACACUGUUUUAAACAGUCUCUAGAAUCUGAAGCAGGAGUUGACCACUGUUGUCUUUGCAUAUUGAUUCCAAGGUUGUCAUAUUUCAUUAAUUUAGGAUACUAUUUAGCAAUUUUACAUUACUUUAGUUCUAUAUAGAAGUAGUAAAUGUGUUUGAAAAAGGAAAUACAUCCGACCUGAGGUUUUUACAGUCAGGAAAUGUAAUGUUCAGAGUGUGAGGCCACAACAUAACUGUAACUGUUCUUCUUUCCUCUUCUGCUGCUGUUACUUCCUCCAGGAAGUAUAAGAUGAUCGACAAAGAGUAUAUUAUUGUAUCUCUAAUGAACAGGGGGAAAAGACCUUGAUCAAGGAUCUUGGAAUUUCAAAUGUGCUUUGUUAUUUUCAUACUUCUUUCCCAAUGCUCGCUUAUUUUUAUAGUUGGUAUAGAUAUAUUUUUUAGGUCUAGCACUGAUAUUUCCCUUUUAUAUUUUAAAUGAAUUUGUUAAUAGAACAUAUGUGUGGCAGGGUGCACCACCCCUUUGCAUAUUUUGUGUUUUAUGUUGUAUUUAUGUAUGCACAAUCACUUCACGUGCAGAUUAAAAAGGUAUGUUGGUAUGUGAGCACGGGAGUAGUAAAGGCACGACAGCAUCUGUCACUUUUC